rnacentral:rRNA from 1 species
ACGCUCGACACCUACGGGAGGCAGCAGUGGGGGAUAUUGCACAAUGGAGGAAACUCUGAUGCAGCGACGCCGCGUGAGGGAAGAAGGUUUUCGGAUUGUAAACCUCUGUCUUCGGUGACGAAAAUGACGGUAGCCGAGGAGGAAGCCACGGCUAACUACGUGCCACAGCCGCGGUAAUCUGAGCGGGCUGGCAAGGC